GACAGAGGGUGCAAACGUUGUUCGGAAUUACUGGGCGUAAAGCGCGUGUAGGCGGCUAAGUAAGUCGGGUGUGAAAUCCCACGGCUCAACCGUGGAAGUGCACUCGAAACUGCAUAGCUAGAGUCCUGGAGAGGAAGGUGGAAUGCUUGGUGUAGAGGUGAAAUUCGUAGAUAUCAAGCGGAACACCGGUGGCGAAGGCGGCCUUCUGGACAGUGACUGACGCUGAGACGCGAAAGCGUGGGGAGCAAACAGG
rnacentral:rRNA from 1 species